rnacentral:rRNA from 1 species
GAGCGGUAAGGCCUUUCGGGGUACACGAGCGGCGAACGGGUGAGUAACACGUGGGUGAUCUGCCCUGCACUUCGGGAUAAGCCUGGGAAACUGGGUCUAAUACCGGAUAUGACCUCMKRUYGCAUGRYKKGKGGUGGAAAGAUUUAUCGGUGCAGGAUGGGCCCGCGGCCUAUCAGCUUGUUGGUGGGGUAAUGGCCUACCAAGGCGACGACGGGUAGCCGACCUGAGAGGGUGACCGGCCACACUGGGACUGAGACACGGCCCAGACUCCUACGGGAGGCAGCAGUGGGGAAUAUUGCACAAUGGGCGAAAGCCUGAUGCAGCGACGCCGCGUGAGGGAUGACGGCCUUCGGGUUGUAAACCUCUUUCAGCAGGGACGAAGCGCAAGUGACGGUACCUGCAGAAGAAGCACCGGCUAACUACGUGCCAGCAGCCGCGGUAAUACGUAGGGUGCAAGCGUUGUCCGGAAUUACUGGGCGUAAAGAGUUCGUAGGCGGUUUGUCGCGUCGUUUGUGAAAACCAGCAGCUCAACUGCUGGCUUGCAGGCGAUACGGGCAGACUUGAGUACUGCAGGGGAGACUGGAAUUCCUGGUGUAGCGGUGAAAUGCGCAGAUAUCAGGAGGAA